rnacentral:sRNA from 1 species
CUGGUGGUGUCUUACUGGCUGCAAGCCUCUGCCUACUUUCCUGCGCGCCGUUCCCUGCCAGUUCCUGUUGCCGGGUUUAUCUUCUCACGGCCUCGAGAUGGUGGUGAACGUGGCACGGAGGAGCCGGGCCUUCCCACCCUGUGGGCCCGAGCUCCGGAAGGCCCCCUCGGCAGUGAGAGGGGCGGGAGCCCGCGGGGGCCGCGCCCUUCUCUCGCUUCGGCCUGCGCAACGCUGCGCUCUGGGCUGACAGAUGAAGACUCUUAAGAUGACAGAAGGUGAAUUUUUCUGGUGAUCGAGGACUCCUGGGGUCAUGAGAGUGAUGAAAUGCAGGGGACCUGGUAGGUUUCUUUUGGAGACUGACUGGGGGCUGCCUGGUGGGACAGAACAGCAUGUUUCCAAGGGCUGUGGCUGGUCAUAGCCAUGGGAUCUCCAACUGCAUGCAAGAGCAACCUGGAAAGACUUUGACAGCGCAGGUGGCCCCCAAGUUUCCUGGCAGUGUGUGAUACUGAGGUGAGCUUGUUUCUGGAGCUGUGCUUUAAGAUUCAUGUGUUACAUGUAAAGCUGUCCUCAGUUGUGACUAUGGACCUAUGGAGUUGGGACAAUCUCUAUGGGAAGCAGAAGGCAAGACCCCGGUCAUUUUAGGUAGAAACAACAGCAUGCUAAUGCAAAAAAUUAUGCAAUGUGCUACUGAACUUCAGAGGUGAUCAAUAAAAGAAUAAAGACUAGUAAAA